AUGACCCCCCGGGAAAGCACGGACGGAGAGGACGGACUGAACAGCGGGGCGGAUCCCCAUCUCCUCUUCCUCCUCCUCCCGGUUCCCCUCAGUUCGGCAGGGCGUCGGCCCGGUCCAAGGAGAACAGACCCAGAAAAAAAAAAAACAAAAAAAAAAAACACAAAACCCGAGGUCGGCCGGGCGCUCCCCGGCCUCGCCCUCCCUGAAGGUUUCGGUAUCUACGGGUGUCCCGGAGAGAGAAAGAGCAGCGGCCUCAGCCCCGAGAGGGAGCCGCAGUCCCAGGAACGCCCUUCUUUUGAUUUCCCUCCCUUCUCUUUCUGUCCCCUCCUGGAGACCCGGUACCUUCAAUUCAGGCGUGGCGGCGACAGCAGCAGCAAGGGCCAGGGUACCGCUGCCUACUGGGGCCAGGCCCAUCUCCCGGUGGCGGCGGAGGCGGCGGCGGCGGCAGCAAUAGCAGCAGUUCUGCUUCUGCCUAGCAUUUUGAGUAAACUAGUAAGUAUUAUUAGAACUGUGGCUCCCACAACAACUUUAGCAAAGUUGCAGGAUACAAAAUAAACCCACAUAAGUCAUCAGCAUUUCUAUAUAUCUCCAACCCAGUUCAGCAGCAAGAACUAGAAAGAGAAAUUCCAUUUAAAGUCACCUGAGACAAUAUAAAAUACUUAGGAAUCUAUCUGCCGAGACAAACACAGGAACUAUAUGAACACAACUACAAAACACUCUCCACACAAUUAAAACUAGAUCUAAACAUUUGGAAAAACACUGAUUGCUCAUGGGUGGGACGAGCUAACAUAAUAAAAAUGACCAUCCUACCCA
rnacentral:lncRNA from 1 species